rnacentral:rRNA from 1 species
AUGCAAGUCGAGCGGAUGAAGGGAGCUUGCUCCCUGAUUCAGCGGCGGACGGGUGAGUAAUGCCUAGGAAUCUGCCUGAUAGUGGGGGACAACGUUUCGAAAGGAACGCUAAUACCGCAUACGUCCUACGGGAGAAAGCAGGGGACCUUCGGGCCUUGCGCUAUCAGAUGAGCCUAGGUCGGAUUAGCUAGUUGGUGAGGUAAUGGCUCACCAAGGCGACGAUCCGUAACUGGUCUGAGAGGAUGAUCAGUCACACUGGAACUGAGACACGGUCCAGACUCCUACGGGAGGCAGCAGUGGGGAAUAUUGGACAAUGGGCGAAAGCCUGAUCCAGCCAUGCCGCGUGUGUGAAGAAGGUCUUCGGAUUGUAAAGCACUUUAAGUUGGGAGGA